UAUCUGUCUAGAAAUUUGUC
rnacentral:piRNA from 1 species